rnacentral:tRNA from 2 species
UCCCUGGCAGUCCAGUGGUUAGGACUCUGUGCUUCAACUGCAAGGGGCACAGGUUCAAUCCCUGUUCGGGGAA